GUAUCUUGUACCUGUCACGUGACUAUGAUGUAAUUGAGGCUAUGCUGGAGAUGAGGUAAUGGUCUUGUGAUGGUGGAGAGACGUUGUUUUCCUACCAGUGAGAGGUCAUGUGAUAGUUUUUGUUUACAGGGUAUAAAAGGAGAACCCCACUCUGUGACGUGGGCAGUUCGUGGCUGAAUUCGCCACUGACUCAAUGUUGCUGCAUAUUCCAAUAUUAUGACGCAGUUUCGUUUAAAAGUGGAGUUUUACUUUCUGUUUUAAGUCUCAAAGGUUAUUGCCGGCAGUUUCGCUAUAAUACUGCCAGUUUGAUCAGUGGAGAGUGAAGAUUUUAAAGGAGUUCGGAACUCCCGAAGGAUUGGGAAAGUUAAUGUUGACGGUGAAACAGAUUCAACCUUUGUUUAAUCUUCGCAGGAGGAAUUAGUAACGAGUAUCCAUGAUAACUCCUGUUCUGCCAGAAGAGCAGAGGGUUGGAUACAAAGUUUCAUCAGAGAAAGAGUGGAAUGACAUUUACAAUCUUGCAGUCCUCCAGGACCAUGCCAGAAUCAAGUGAUUCUUGAAAGAUCAUGACCAAUGCAUCCGUUAUCUCUUUAGCAUCCUCUCUCAGGACUCAGGCAUUCACAGUAACAUGAAGAAUUACACCAGAAUCAAUGAAAAAUAAUACGCACAAAGAGUGACAAAUCAUUGACAUACAACAUAAAAAGACAGACCACUAUGGAACACCACUCAUCACCAGCAGCCAAUCCAAAAUGGAUACUUUAUUCCUAAUCUUUGUCUCAUACCAAUCAGCCAAUGCUAAUAUCUUUCCUGUGAUACCCUGGACUCUUAACUUAUUUAGCAGUCUCAUAUGUGGCAUGAGACUUUAUCAAAAGUCUCCUGAAAAUCCAAGUACACAGCUUCCACCAAUUCUCCUUUAUAUUCCUGCUUGUUAUUUCUUCAAACUAUUCCAACAGAUUUGUCAGGUAAGAUAUUCCUUGGAGGAAAUAAUGCUGACUAUCAUGUGCCUCCAAGUACCCCAAAACCACAUCCAUAACAAUUGACUGCAACAUCUUCCCAAAUACUGAGGUCAGAUUAACUGGCCUACACUGUAAUUUCCUUUCUUCUACUUCCCUCCCUUCUUGAAGAGUGGUGUGACACUUGCAAUUUUCCAGUCUUCUGGAACCAUGCCAGACUGUAGUGAUUUUUGAAAAUUCAUUGCUUAUUGCCUCAAUAAUCUCUUCAGCUAACUCUUUUAGAACCUUUGAGUGUAGUCCAUUGGGUCCAGGUGACUUAUCUACCUUCAGACCUUUCAGUCUCCCAAACACCAUCUCCCUGGUAAUAGAAACUGCACUCACUUCUGCCCCCAUUACGCUUGAAUGUCCAGCCAUGCUACAAACUUGUGUUCGAAACAUGGAAUGCUAUCCCCAACAUUUAUGUAAACAUUAAAAAGUAUGCGCUUCGAGUCCUGUCGAUCUUUGGAUCCACAUAUGUAUGUGAGCAGGUGUUCUCCAACAUGAACUUUAUUAAAAACAAACAUCGUGCACGCCUCACAGAUGACAGCUUGCGAUCCUGUGUAAAGAUGAAGGUGAUGUCAUACAGCCAUGAUGUGCAGACGCAGUGCGCUGAGGUCCAGGAGCAGAAAUCCCAUUAACCAAGUUGGAUUCUCACUAAGACAACUUGGAAAUACAAGAAACUGCACAUGGUAUAAUCUGCAGCAACGAACAAUCUGCUGGAGGAACUCAGCUGGUCAAGCAGCAUCAGACAGAGGAGAUAAACUGUCAAUAUUU